UACGUAGGGCGCAAGCGUUGUCCGGAAUUAUUGGGCGUAAAGAGCUCGUAGGCGGUUUGUCGCGUCUGUCGUGAAAGCCCACGGCCUAACCGUGGGUCUGCGGUGGAUACGGGCAGACUAGAGGCAGGUAGGGGAGAAUGGAAUUCCCGGUGUAGCGGUGAAAUGCGCAGAUAUCGGGAGGAACACCGGUGGCGAAGGCGGUUCUCUGGGCCUGUACUGACGCUGAGGAGCGAAAGCGUGGGGAGCGAACAGG
rnacentral:rRNA from 1 species